AGAGUUUGAUCAUGGCUCAGAACGAACGCUGGCGGCGUGGAUAAGACAUGCAAGUCGAGCGAGAUUUUUUCCUGUAGCAAUACAGGGAAGAGUCUAGCGGCGAACGGGUGCUUAACACGUGGGCAACCUGCCGAGAAGUGGGGGAUAGCUCGCCGAAAGGCGAAUUAAUACCGCAUGUGAUUAGAAAGGACAUCCUUUCGAAAUCAAAGUCGGGGCAACCUGACGCUUUUUGUGGGGCCCGCGGCCUAUCAGCUAGUUGGUGAGGUAACGGCUCACCAAGGCUUUGACGGGUAGCUGGUCUGAGAGGACGACCAGCCACACUGGGACUGAGACACGGCCCAGACACCUACGGGUGGCAGCAGUCGAGAAUUUUUCUCAAUGGGGGAAACCCUGAAGGAGCGACGCCGCGUGGAGGAUGAAGGUCUUCGGAUUGUAAACUCCUGUCAUUGGGGAACAAGGUGCAUACGUUAACUGCGUGUGCAUUGAUAGUACCCGAAGAGGAAGAGACGGCUAACUCUGUGCCAGCAGCCGCGGUAAUACAGAGGUCUCAAGCGUUGUUCGGAUUCAUUGGGCGUAAAGGGUGCGUAGGCGGCGCGGUAAGUCGGGUGUGAAAUCUUGGAGCUUAACUCCGAAACUGCAUUCGAUACUGCCGUGCUUGAGGACUGGAGAGGAGACUGGAAUUUACGGUGUAGCGGUGAAAUGCGUAGAUAUCGUAAGGAAGACCAGUGGCGAAGGCGGGUCUCUGGACAGUUCCUGACGCUGAGGCACGAAGGCCAGGGGAGCAAACGGGAUUAGAUACCCCAGUAGUCC
rnacentral:rRNA from 1 species